UAGGAAUUGAGGCUUUGUUACUUCCU
rnacentral:piRNA from 1 species